CGCCCGUCGCUCCUACCGAUUGGGUGUGCUGGUGAGAUGUCGGGAUUAGUGGCUGUGGGCGGUUCGCCGCCCUCUGCCGCUGAGAACUUCAUCAAGCCCUCCCACCUAGAGGAAGGAGAAGUCGUAACAAGGUUCCU
rnacentral:rRNA from 1 species